GAGUGUAGGGUUCCUAGCGAGCCCAACCUCCCACCCGUGUUUACUGUACCUUAGUUGCUUCGGCGGGCCCGCCAUUCGUGGCCGCCGGGGGCUCUCAGCCCCGGGCCCGCGCCCGCCGGAGACACCACGAACUCUGUCUGAUCUAGUGAAGUCUGAGUUGAUUGUAUCGCAAUCAGUUAAAACUUUCAACAAUGGAUCUCUUGGUUCCGGCAUCGAUGAAGAACGCAGCGAAAUGCGAUAACUAGUGUGAAUUGCAGAAUUCCGUGAAUCAUCGAGUCUUUGAACGCACAUUGCGCCCCCUGGUAUUCCGGGGGGCAUGCCUGUCCGAGCGUCAUUGCUGCCCAUCAAGCACGGCUUGUGUGUUGGGUCGUCGUCCCCUCUCCGGGGGGGACGGGCCCCAAAGGCAGCGGCGGCACCGCGUCCGAUCCUCGAGCGUAUGGGGCUUUGUCACCCGCUCUGUAGGCCCGGCCGGCGCUUGCCGAACGCA
rnacentral:rRNA from 1 species